CGUGUAGGCGGGAAGGAAAGUCAGAUGUGAAAUCCCCAGGCUCAACCUGGGAACUGCAUUUGAAACUCCCUUUCUUGAGUACCGGAGAGGAAAGUGGAAUUCCUGGUGUAGAGGUGAAAUUCGUAGAUAUCAGGAGGAACACCAGUGGCGAAGGCGGCUUUCUGGACGGUAACUGACGCUGAGACGCGAAAGCGUGGGGAAGCAAACA
rnacentral:rRNA from 1 species